rnacentral:rRNA from 1 species
GAUGAACGCUAGCGGCAGGCUUAAUACAUGCAAGUCGAGGGGCAGCAUGAUUGUAGCAAUACAAUUGAUGGCGACCGGCAAACGGGUGCGGAACACGUACACAACCUUCCAACAAGUGGGGGAUAGCCCAGAGAAAUUUGGAUUAAUACCCCGUAACAUAGCGAUGUAGCAUCACAUUGCUAUUAUAGAUUUUUCGCUUGUUGAUGGGUGUGCGGCUGAUUAGAUAGUUGGCGGGGUAACGGCCCACCAAGUCUACGAUCAGUAGCUGAUGUGAGAGCAUGAUCAGCCACACGGGCACUGAGACACGGGCCCGACUCCUACGGGAGGCAGCAGUAAGGAAUACUGGACAAUGGACGCAGGUCUGAUCCAGCCAUGCCGCGUGAAGGAUUAAGGUCCUCUGGAUUGUAAACUUCUUUUAUAAGGGACGAAAAAAGGCUUUUCUAAGUCGUCUGACGGUACCUUAUGAAUAAGCACCGGCUAACUCCGUGCCAGCCGCCGCCGUAACAC